rnacentral:rRNA from 1 species
UAGGGAAUCUUCGGCAAUGGACGAAAGUCUGACCGAGCAACGCCGCGUGAGUGAAGAAGGUUUUCGGAUCGUAAAACUCUGUUGUUAGAGAAGAACAAGGACGUUAGUAACUGAACGUCCCCUGACGGUAUCUAACCAGAAAGCCACGGCUAACUACGUGCCAGCAGCCGCGGUAAUACGUAGGUGGCAUGCGUUGUCCGGAUUUAUUGGGCGUAAAGCGAGCGCAGGCGGUUUCUUAAGUCUGAUGUGAAAGCCCCCGGCUCAACCGGGGAGGGUCAUUGGAAACUGGGAGACUUGAGUGAAGAAGAGGAGAGUGGAAUUCCAUGUGUAGCGGUGAAAUGCGUAGAUAUAUGGAGGAACACCAGUGGCGAAGGCAGCUCUCUGGUCUGUAACUGACGCUGAGGCUCGAAAGCGUGGGGAGCAAACAGG